rnacentral:rRNA from 1 species
UAAUACGGAGGGUGCAAGCGUUAUCCGGAUUCACUGGGUUUAAAGGGUGCGUAGGCGGAUUAAUAAGUCAGAGGUGAAAGCCCGGAGCUCAACUUCGGAAUUGCCUCUGAAACUAUUGAUCUUGAGUUUGGUUGAUGUGGGCGGAAUAUGUCAUGUAGCGGUGAAAUGCGUAGAUAUGACAUAGAACACCAAUUGCGAAGGCAGCUCACUAAGCCAAUACUGACGCUGAGGCACGAAAGCGUGGGGAGCGAACAGGAUUAGAUACCCUGGUAGUCCACGCCGUAAACUAUGAUUACUCGAUUUAUAUACUUUUGUACGUGAGUCCAAGCGAAAGCGUUAAGUAAUCCACCUGGGAAGUACGGUCGCAAGACUG